GGAUGGGUCCGGCGCGGCAGAAACUCCCGAACCCCGUCAGGUCCGAGAGGAAGCAGCGGUAAGGAAGCUAUUCUGGGCGCCGCCGGGUUGCCUGUCCGGC
rnacentral:SRP_RNA from 1 species